GAACCCUUUCCUCAAUGGAAAA
rnacentral:snRNA from 1 species